UCGAGAAUCAUUCACAAUGGACGAAAGUCUGAUGGUGUGACGCCGCGUGGAGGAUGAAGGUCUUCGGAUUGUAAACUCCUGUCAUGUGAGAGUAAAGCCGGGCGUUAACUGCGCGCCGGUCUGAGAGUAUCACAAGAGGAAGAGACGGCUAACUCUGUGCCAGCAGCCGCGGUAAUACAGAGGUCUCAAGCGUUGUUCGGAAUCACUGGGCGUAAAGGGUGCGUAGGCCGCACGGUAAGUCAGAGGUGAAAUCCCGGAGCUCAACUUCGGAAUUGCCUCCGAUACUGCCGUGCUUGAGGACUGGAGAGGAGAUUGGAAUUCACAGUGGAGCAGUGAAAUGCGUAGAUAUUGUGAGGAACACUAGUGGCGAAGGCGAAUCUCUGGACAGUUCCUGACGCUGAGGCACGAAGGCCAGGGGAGCAAA
rnacentral:rRNA from 1 species